rnacentral:rRNA from 1 species
AUUGAACGCUGGCGGCAGGCCUAACACAUGCAAGUCGAGCGGAUGAAGGGAGCUUGCUCCUGGAUUCAGCGGCGGACGGGUGAGUAAUGCCUAGGAAUCUGCCUGGUAGUGGGGGAUAACGUCCGGAAACGGGCGCUAAUACCGCAUACGUCCUGAGGGAGAAAGUGGGGGAUCUUCGGACCUCACGCUAUCAGAUGAGCCUAGGUCGGAUUAGCUAGUUGGUGGGGUAAAGGCCUACCAAGGCGACGAUCCGUAACUGGUCUGAGAGGAUGAUCAGUCACACUGGAACUUAGACACGGUCCAGACUCCUACGGGAGGCAGCAGUGGGGAAUAUUGGACAGUGGGCGAAAGCCUGGUCCAGCCAUGCCGCGUGUGUGAAGAAGGUCUUCGGAUUGUAAAGCACUUUAAGUUGGGAGGAGGGGCAGUAAGUUAAUACCUUGCUGUUUUGACGUUACCAACAGAAUAAGCACCGGCUAACUUCGUG